rnacentral:rRNA from 1 species
CCUACGGGAGGCUGCAGUGAGGACUAUUUGUCAAUGGGCGCGAGCCUGAACCAGCCAAGUAGCGUGAAGGAUGACUGCCCUACGGGUUGUACACUUCUUUUAUAAAGGAAUAAAGUGAGGCACGUGUGCCUUUUUGUAUGUACUUUAUGAAUAAGGAUCGGCUAACUCCGUGCCAGUAGCCGCGGUAAUACGGAGGAUCCGAGCGUUAUCCGGAAUUAUUGGGUUUAAAGGGAGCGUAGAUGGGUUGUUAAGUCAGUUGUGAAAGUUUGCGGCUCAACCGUAAGAUUGCAAUUGAUACUGGGAGUCUUGAGUACAGUUGAGGUAGGCGGAAUUCGUGGUGUAGCGGUGAAAUGCUUAGAUAUCACGAAGAACUCCGAUUGCGAAGGCAGCUUACUAAACUGCCACUGACAUUGAUGCUCGAAAGUGUGGGUAUCAAACAGGAUUAGAUACCCGGGUAGUC